rnacentral:lncRNA from 1 species
AUGGUUGAAUUAAUAAAUUGCCCCAUUAUGCUUAUAGAGCACUUUCAAUUUGUACAUCCUUUCCCCGACCAGAUCUUUUUUUAUCCUUUUUUAAGGCAAUCAAAUCAUUCUUUCCUUCUUCUUUCGCAGAUUGGGAGGGACCUCAUUGCUCUUAGAUACAAGGAGUCAGAGUAAAGCCAUGGAAAUUCAGGCAUGAAUUGUGAGAGGCGUUGGACAAGUUAAGCUCACUGAAACUCAGUUUCCUGUCCUGUAAAAUGGGGAUAAUAAGACCUACCUUUCAGAGUUGCUAAAAACACUUAGGAAAAAUGUAUGUAAAACACCAAUUAGCCACAAAGUAAGUGACCUAUCUAUGGUGGCUGUUAUUGUCAUAACGAGAUCAAUUUUUAAAAUAUUCUCCCUCAGCUCUCUACUCUCAGUUCAUAUGUAAAAAUUCAGGAUGGUUGCUCAGAAGCUCCUGAUACACUGCCCUUCCAGUCUUGGGGAAUUUUUUUUUUUUUUUGUAAUCUUAGGAAAAUUUUCUGACCCAGUACUCGAGGGGCAAGGCCCUUAGUCUUCUAAGGGAUUCUGUUUUCUGAUGAUUCUAUUCAGAAAAGGCAACCAAUAAACAGAGUCCAGAAAAAAUUUAGUUUUACCAGCAAAUUAGGACUUUGCUAUAAACUGUCAACCUGGAAAUAAGACUAAAGAAGGUCAUGGCCCUCUGCCAACCUGUACCAAGAGAAAUAGGC